UACGGAGGAUGCAAGCGUUAUCCGGAUUUAUUGGGUUUAAAGGGUGCGUAGUCGGGAAGAUAAGUCAGUGGUGAAAUCCUGCAGCUUAACUGUAGAAUUGCCGUUGAUACUAUUUUUCUUGAGUGUGGUCAAGGAAGGCGGAAUGUGUAAUGUAGCGGUGAAAUGCUUAGAUAUUACACAGAACACCGAUUGCGAAGGCAGCUUUCUGGGCCGUUACUGAUGCUGAUGCACGAAAGCGUGGGGAUCGAACAGGAUUAGA
rnacentral:rRNA from 1 species